CCUACGGGUGGCUGCAGUGGGGAAUAUUGGGCCAUGGGCGCAAGCCUGACCCAGCAAAGCCGCGUGAAGGAAGAAGGCUUUCGGGUUGUAAACUUCUUUUUUCAGGGAAGAAGCAAGUGACGGUACGUGAGGAAUAAGCCACGGCUAACUACGUGCCAGCAGCCGCGGUAAUACGUAGGUGGCAGGAGUUAUCCGGAUUUACUGGGUGUAAAGGGCGUGUAGGCGGGAAAGCAAGUCAGAUGUGAAAACCAUGGGCUAAACCUGUGGCCUGCAUUUGAACCUGGUUGUCUUGAGUACUGGAGAGGCAGACGGAAUUCCGAGUGUAGCGGUGAAAUGCGUAGAUAUUAGGAGGAACACCAGUGGCGAAGGCGGUCUGCUGGACAGCAACUGACGCUGAGGCGCGAAAGCGUGGGGAGCAAACAGGAUUAGAUACCCUUGUAGUC
rnacentral:rRNA from 1 species